UUUGGACCACAUUUCUUUAACGCCUUUUGUUUGUCAUUCGUUCUUUUUCCCUUACUCGUUUUCAAUGUCGACCCACAUACUUUCGCUUAAUUGUAAAACAGGCUUCUCUUAAACAUAUUCUAUCUCUUAUCCACCCCCAAGCCUCCUUCACGUUCUCCUCACUCUUCUAUAUAAAAGACCGUCUUCUUCUUCAUUGAUGAGACCGACUACACGAUAAAACCCUA
rnacentral:lncRNA from 1 species